GGAAAUCUCACCAGGCCCGGACACUGGAAGGAUUGACAGAUUGAGAGCUCUUUCUCGAUUCGGUGGGUGGUGGUGCAUGGCCGUUCUUAGUUGGUGGAGUGAUUUGUCUGGUUAAUUCCGAUAACGAACGAGACUCUGUCCUGCUAAAUAGUGUCAGCCUCUCUUUUGGGCUGACAAUUCUUCUUAGAGGGACUGGCGGCGCCUAGCCGCACGAAAUAGAGCAAUAA
rnacentral:rRNA from 1 species